UUUGAAAUGCAGAGAUUAAUUUCAAUAAUUAUAUGAAUUUUAUCUUGGCAAAUUUCAAAAAGUGUGGGAUAUAUGGAGAUUUUGUUUGUUAUAAUUACGUAAAAGCUAUUUAAAAAAUUUUUUCAUUGAAAAUGAUUUAUGUAUCAUACGUCCUUUUAUGUGAUUAUUAUAUGUCAUGUCCAUUUAUGUGAUGUGAUGAUUCUUUUGUAAGUGAAACAAAAAAAGUUGUACCUAUUUUAUUUUUAAAUUUAUGUUUUUAUUUAUACAUUUACAUUUCGCGGAAAAAUAACAUAAUUAUUGCGCGCGCCGGUAUCGAGCGCACGUUCGCAUGAUCGGUAGCAAGAGAUAGAAAAGGCUAUAUAUUGUUUUCUUCUACGCUAAACAUUCGAACAUCGAAGCAUCGGCCUGUUGAUUGUCGAGCGCAGUGGAACGCACAUGUUUGUACACGUUUGUGUAUUAUGCAGUCGGGUUUUCUUUUGUGUGUGCCUAGGCUAUCUUGCGAGUAUCGGCGCUUUGGUUAAUUGAAUUAUUAACCUUAUUUCCCAUUAUUGCCUUGAACGGAAAGCUGUUCUGUUCUGCAAAAAGAAGAAGAGUUAGGCUCGGGCUCGAUUUCAUCAUCAUCUCUCUCUCUCUCUCUCUACAGAAGGUGGGAAAAGCUAGUUUAUUAAGAUUUGUUUCGUGUUAUUAUUACAAAAUUAGGAGCAUUAGAAAACUAUGAAUAUACUUCUUCCAAUGGUGAAGCAACUUAUAGUACACUUCCGACUAUCGAAAGUAUCUCAUAUGGAAGGUGUUCCCAAACUUCCAGUUGACAGUGAUGAAAAUUUGGAAUUCGAAAGGUUUUUAGAUACUAAUACAAAUUUUGAGUACAUGGUUAAUACUUUAAGCAUAUCAGGUGGCACAACUGUUUCUCAGAUCAGUAGGACUCUGGAAAGAAUAAUUACAAAUAAUUAUGCUUGAAAUUUUAACGGCAGGAAGAACACCGAAGAAAUCUUUCAAGAUUCUUAAAAUAAAGGACUUAGUCAUAGCUAUUGUCAAGGCUAUUGAACCAAAUGCUGCAAUAUAUGAUGUAGAAAAGCCCAUAAAAGAUUGACUCAAAUUAGCACCUCUUCGUGUAACCUUAGCCGAUUCCAGGGCAUUGAAGACAAAUUCAAGAAAAGUAUAAUUUCUCAUCGUUUCAGUUUCGAUAUUAAUGUUUAUUUUGUAUUUACAUAUUUCUAUCCAUUCCAUUUCAAGAAUUUGAGAUUUAUUAUUUAGUAAUUUGCAGGACAAUUAGGAAUAUGUAUUAUCAUAGUAUUCUGCAAUGUACUCGCACUCGCCACUGAAACGUGUUCUCAUUGAAGCAUUAAAAUAAGUAUAUAUCUCUUUACCACCUAAUAAUGUAUCGCAAAGAUGACCGAUAAUAUAAAAGCACUGUUAGUUGUUUUGUUAUAAUGUUAUGCGUAAUACAAUUAUGUAAUUAAAAAUUAAAACCAAAAUUGAUAAAAACUUUUAGUUUAAAAACUUACAUUUAAAACUUAAAUUUAAAACUUAGUACAUAUAUGUAUACGCAAUGUGCAAUAUUAUAUACUUUUACACAUUUUUAGUUGGCGAUGUUCCUGAUACUUUGACGGUGGUAAAAAGAUAUAACAAAAAUUAUAUACUUUAAUACCAUAAAAAUAUCAGUAACAGUUUAGCAUUUUAUUUUAUAAUGUUUCAGUUUUAUAUUAUGUAUUAGUUUAAUAUUACAUUAACAUUUAGUUUAUUUUGUAGCUUGUGUGUGUAAUGCUUUUACAACUUUUAUAUGCGUUAAUUAAUUUUAUUUUAACGUUGUUAUUUACUCCUUAAACAUUAAGUAUCACAUUUAUUCUCAUUUAUAAUACUAAAAACAUCGUACUUUUAAGUUGUACCGACAUUUUCCUUAUAAAACAUAUACAAAAAAA
rnacentral:lncRNA from 1 species